rnacentral:rRNA from 1 species
GACGAACGCUGGCGGCGUGCCUAACACAUGCAAGUCGAACGGUGAAGCUCCAGCUUGCUGGAGUGGAUCAGUGGCGAACGGGUGAGUAACACGUGAGCAACCUGCCCCUGACUCUGGAAUAAGCGCUGGAAACGGCGUCUAAUACUGGAUACGAGAAGGGUCCGCAUGGGCACUUUCUGGAAAGUUUUUCGGUUGGGGAUGGGCUCGCGGCCUAUCAGCUUGUUGGUGAGGUAAUGGCUCACCAAGGCGACGACGGGUAGCCGGCCUGAGAGGGCGACCGGCCACACUGGGACUGAGACACGGCCCAGACUCCUACGGGAGGCAGCAGUGGGGAAUAUUGCACAAUGGGCGAAAGCCUGAUGCAGCGACGCCGCGUGAGGGAUGACGGCCUUCGGGUUGUAACCCUCUUUCAGCAGGGAAGAAGCGAAAGUGACGGUACCUGCAGAAGAAGCACCGGCUAACUACGUG